AUACAUGAGCCCAAUCUCAACUUUAUUAGAAGAGACGCAUUUAUUAGAUAAAAAGCCAAUGCAUGCUUUUACAGUAUGAAAAUUGGUGAUUUAUAAUAACUUAGCAAAUCGCAAAGUGAAAACAGGCGAUAAAUCAUUCAAGUUUCUGACCUAUCAGCUUUCGACGGUAUGGUAUUGGCUUACCGUGGCAGUGACGGUUAACGGGGGAUUAGGGUUCGAUUCCGGAGAGGGAGCCUGAGAAACGGCUACCACAUCUAAGGAAGGCAGCAGGCGCGCAAAUUACCCAAUUCUAACAGUUUGAGAGAGGUAGUAACAAGAAAUAACAAUACAAGGCAGUUAAAAUGCUUUGUAAUUGGAAUGAUAGAAAUUUAAACCCUUUUUAAAGUAUCAAUUGGAGGGCAAGUCUGGUGCCAGCAGCCGCGGUAAUUCCAGCUCCAAUAGCGUAUAUUAAAAUUGUUGCAGUUAAAAAGCUCGUAGUUGAAGUUCUGCUAAAAGUAACCGGUCUGCUUUGAAUAAAAGUGGUAUCUUGGUAUGUAUUUAGCAAUGAUGUCCUUUGAAGUGUUUUUUACUUUAUUGUAAUAAAGCAUAUUCAGGACUUUUACUUUGAGAAAAUUAGAGUGUUUCUAGCAGGCCAACGCUCUGAAUACUGCAGCAUGGAAUAAUAAGAAGGGC
rnacentral:rRNA from 1 species